UACGAAGGGGGCUAGCGUUGCUCGGAAUCACUGGGCGUAAAGGGCGCGUAGGCGGCCAUUCAAGUCAGGGGUGAAAGCCUGUGGCUCAACCACAGAAUUGCCUUUGAUACUGUUUGGCUAGAGACCGGAAGAGGUAAGUGGAACUGCGAGUGUAGAGGUGAAAUUCGGUAGAUAUUCGCAAGAACACCAGUGGCGAAAGGCGGCUCACUGGUCCGGUUCUGACGCUGAGGCGCGAAAGCGUGGGGAGCAAGCAGG
rnacentral:rRNA from 1 species